CAGCCGCCACGGGAAUACGGAGGGUGCAAGCGUUAAUCGGAAUUACUGGGCGUAAAGCGUGCGCAGGCGGUUAUAUAAGACAGAUGUGAAAUCCCCGGGCUCAACCUGGGAACUGCAUUUGUGACUGUAUAGCUAGAGUACGGCAGAGGGGGAUGGAAUUCCGCGUGUAGCAGUGAAAUGCGUAGAUAUGCGGAGGAACACCGAUGGCGAAGGCAAUCCCCUGGGCCUGUACUGACGCUCAUGCACGAAAGCGUGGGGAGCAAACAGGAUUAGAUACCCGAGUAGUCCCUGUCUCUUAUAC
rnacentral:rRNA from 1 species